rnacentral:lncRNA from 1 species
CACAUCCGUUUCCCACAUGUAGGCCUUUCAGAUGUUUGGGGGCAGCACACAGACCCUCUGUCCAUGUCCUCUCUCUUGGCUAAGUGUCCACAGUCCCCCAGACAUCCCUCCUGGGGUCUGCUUUCAAGUGCGUUCAUCAUCCUGGCUGCUGACCUCUCAUCUGUGGCCCUCUUCAGGUGUGGCCCUCCUCGGGUGUGGCCCUCAGAGCUGAUCUCGCUCCCUGGACUUCUCUGGACAUGCCUGUUGCUUCUGUGGCCCCAUUAUCCUCCAGGCCAGUUAAGAGCUGUGGCUGCUGUUGGCAUAGCUGGUGGUGGCUGCUGUCUAAUUUCUCACUCAGCCCUACCUCUUUUGCUGCGUGGAACCAAACUGCGAUGGAGAAGCUCCUGGUCUAGCCCACUGUGGCAAACAAUGUUUGUCUUGAGAAUGGAAGCAAGCUGGGCAGCAGAAUGGAAAUCCAGUGUUAUUGGCAGGUCGGCUCAGGAUCAUUGCUCCAAUUCCUGGGGCAGCUGGGAGACAGAAGUGCUGAUGAGGAAAAUCUUAGUUGGCCCUGUGUCAGGUGAAGAGCAUGAGGCCAUGUACAAAAUCUGAAGACGAUUACUGCAGAACCCCAGCAUGCUUCAGGGAGUACUGUGGUCUCCAAGCCUGUCAGAGUCCCUUGAGAGGCAAUGCUGGGCCCCUCCCAGACGUCCCCCAAAGCUGGAGCAUGUUGGUUUCUGUUCUUCCACCUGGCACUGAGCUGUGGCUCACAGACAUUUUGCAUCAUUAGUUCCAUAUGCUGUUAUUUGGACAAAUUUAAGCUGAAGCAUAUUCCUGAAUGCCUGUAAGUGCUCAUGUUUAUCACUACAGCUCUUAUUCUGGCAGCAAAAGCUGCGUCAAAUGGUGGCCCUCUAAUAUCACAGGACCGAGAAGCCGAGCAGAAUGGCAACAUGCAGGCAGCAUCCCAGGGUGUGCCCAGGGUGCAGAACCCACCUCCAGCAGAGUGAGGGAAAGUCUUUUUUUGGUACCUUGCAUGGCCCAGGCACUGUGCUAGACUCAGGGGACAUAACCAGGGACAAGACAGACCCAGUCAGGCCCUCCAGAGAGCAGCGGUCCUCAGAUGUUGGCAAGCACCAUUUAAACACGAAGAUAUGUGGGCCCCAUCCCUCAGAGUUGGAGUCACUGGGUGUGGGGCAGCGCCUGGGAAUCUGCAUGUUCAACAUCCUUCUGCGUGACUGUGAAGCAGAGGGUCAGGUGACCGUGGUUUGAGAAAUACCGGCCUGGGGCCUCACUACUCAGAGCAUGGUCUGUGGACCUCUCCUCCCCCCGUCAGCAUCCCCUCAGAACUGGUUAGACAUGCAGAAUUUCAGGCUCCACCCCACCCCUACUGAAUCAUAAUGGGCAUUUUAAGCUGAUUCCCAGGAGGAUGUGUGUGCAGGUUAAAGUUUGGGAAGCAUUGCCAGUGCAAGGUCCAAGGGAGCUUUUUACCCUGCUUCUGUGUUGUUUUGAUAAGAGAACGAAUAUAUUCAUGUAUUACUUGGUAAUUAAAAAUAAAUUAAUGAAAAACUUGGCAUAAACCAGGAAAAUCUUGUACAGGAACGUUCAGAGCAGCUCUCUCCAUAAUGGCCCCAAACUGGGAACAGCCUAAAUGUCCAUCGCAGGUGAAUGGAUAAACAAAAGGCGGCAUAUUCAAAAAAUGGAAUACUGCUCAGCAAUAAAAAGGAACAACAUACAACAAUAUGGAUGCCAGUGCAUUGUACUAAGUGGAAGGAGCCUGACCCGAAAAGCUACAAGCAAGGUUGGGAUUCUGGUUGCUUCAACUCUAUGAGGUCCUCAGUCUCCACCUCUGAAAAAUGGGGAUGAUCCUGGCUCCCAGGGCUGUGGUGGAGAUCAGGGUGCCAAGUCAUCUCACGCCUCUGAGCCUUGUUCCUCAGCUGUAAAAUGGACGUAAUAAUAGGAUGAUCCCCACAGAGCGGAGCUGAGAGGUAAAUGAGAUGAUCUGACCGAUACACUGAGAUAUGGAGAAGAAGGAAACCUGGAACUGAGGCCACGUCAGACAAGCAUUGUUCCCUGGAGGCAUUGCAGGGGCCCUGCCUCUGAAGCCAAUGAUGGCGCGUUGCUGAGUCUCUGUUCUGACACGGAUGUGUGCUCUGAGAGUCAGGGCGAGUCCCUGGGCUGAACCGCUUAUGGGCCACUCAAGGAAGAGGGAGAUGGGCAGACUCCUGCUCAUCCUUCAGUCCUUGGCUCACGCAUCACUCCAAGAGGAAGCCUUCUGCACUCUUCUCCAGCAGAGUUGGUGACCCGGCACUGCGUCAUUUUGUCAGGCCUUGCCCUGUGCUCUGUCCCUGCCCUGGCCACGUGUGGGUCAAAUGCAUCGUUCCGUAUCUGUCUCCCCACCAGCCUCGGAACAACUGUCUCCCCCAUCUCUGCAGCCCUAGAAAGCUGCACAAAGUCUGAAUACAGAAAUGUCUGGA